AGCUCCCUGAACUCAUAAGAGAUUCAUUGAAAAGAGUAAACAUACAGCAUCCAUUUCUAAAAGAAAAAUACAGGUACUUUGAAAAAUGUUUAAUUCAAUGAUAAAGAGCCUGCCCAAGAGUUUAAAAUACAAUAAAAACAAGAACGUACAUCAAUUGUUGAUCCCAUCUGAUGGCAGUCUGUCCUUGAGCAUAUAGCUAAAAGGAUUUUCUCUGUAUCAAGUGGCACAACUACGGUGGACAUUCUGGAAACCAGGUGUCUGUUUGUAUGAAAAUGGUUGGAAGAAACAGAUCAGCACCCACAUCAGCGUAAUGUCUUCAUGGUCUUAUGCUGCAAUAAAGGGAAUGAUGCAUGCUUCACUGCAGAAAAACUAUAACUGCUGAGAAGUUCUUAUAAACCAAUGAUCUCAAAAUUAUUUUGGUAAUUUUUUUCUUCCAAAUAAAAUUAGAUAAACUCUACAUCCCUUCACUGCGCUCAAUACCCACCUUCUGUAAAAAGCAUGAAGAAAACUUCAAUGGACCAACAAGGCUGUAACACUGGGGGAAAUGAUUGAUUUCACUUAAACACCACCACCAACAAAAAAUGUUUAAAAACAGUUUCACGGCGCAACUUUCUCCUUGCUUUUUUUUCUUAUAGUUGGAAUGUAUUUUAUCGUCUGUCAGUUUUGCCCCUAUGAUAUGUCCUCUUAAAUUGGAUCUGUAAGCCCUUCAUAAAGUUUAAUAAAUCUUCAGCAUUUCACCCUAAGGAAAUUAUAUUAAAAACCUUCAAAUGUGAAGUUGGGCCCACAGACACACAGUGCUGGGA
rnacentral:lncRNA from 1 species